rnacentral:rRNA from 1 species
CUACGGGGCGCUGCAGUGGGGAAUUUUGGACAAUGGGCGCAAGCCUGAUCCAGCCAUUCCGCGUGAGUGAAGAAGGCCUUCGGGUUGUAAAGCUCUUUCGCAAGGGAAGAACACUUAGCUACUAAUAUUAGCUGAGGUUGACGGUACCUUGAUAAGAAGCACCGGCUAACUACGUGCCAGCAGCCGCGGUAAUACGUAGGGUGCGAGCGUUAAUCGGAAUUACUGGGCGUAAAGCGUGCGCAGGCUGUUUUGUAAGUCAGAUGUGAAAUCCCCGAGCUCAACUUGGGAACUGCGUUUGAAACUACAAGACUAGAAUAUGUCAGAGGGGGGUAGAAUUCCACGUGUAGCAGUGAAAUGCGUAGAGAUGUGGAGGAAUACCAAUGGCGAAGGCAGCCCCCUGGGAUAAUAUUGACGCUCAUGCACGAAAGCGUGGGGAGCAAACAGGAUUAGAUACCCCGGUAGUC